AAGGUGUUCCCCAUGACACAUUAGAAGGUCACAGAGGAAGGUUUAACGUCCAACACAAGAGAAUGAAGACUUUUUGCACAUGUGCAGGAGGAAUGACAUAUAUCACGAAUCUUAUUGAAAUUCCAGUUAUUCCUGAGAAUCCACCAAAUUUUUUGAAUAAUAAAUAUCAACCAAAACAAGAAUUAAAAACAGUUAAAGAAGAGCCUAAACCGGCUCCACUGCUUCCUCAUGUUGAU
rnacentral:lncRNA from 1 species